UACGUAGGUGGCAAGCGUUGUCCGGAUUUACUGGGUGUAAAGGGCGUGUAGCCGGGCUGACAAGUCAGAUGUGAAAUCCGGGGGCUCAACCCCCGAACUGCAUUUGAAACUGUUGGUCUUGAGUAUCGGAGAGGCAGGCGGAAUUCCUAGUGUAGCGGUGAAAUGCGUAGAUAUUAGGAGGAACACCAGUGGCGGAGGCGGCCUGCUGGACGACAACUGACGGUGAGGCGCGAAAGCGUGGGGAGCAAACAGG
rnacentral:rRNA from 1 species